rnacentral:rRNA from 1 species
UACGUAGGGGGCAAGCGUUGUCCGGAUUUAUUGGGCGUAAAGAGCGUGUAGGCGGCCAUGUAGGUCCGUUGUGAAAACUCGAGGCUCAACCUCGAGACGCCGAUGGAAACCAUGUGGCUAGAGUCCGGAAGAGGAGAGUGGAAUUCCUGGUGUAGCGGUGAAAUGCGCAGAUAUCAGGAGGAACACCAAUAGCGAAGGCAGCUCGCUGGGACGGUACUGACGCUAAGGCGCGAAAGCGUGGGGAGCGAACAGG